rnacentral:rRNA from 1 species
UACGGAGGGGGUUAGCGUUGUUCGGAAUUACUGGGCGUAAAGCGCGCGUAGGCGGACUAUUAAGUCAGAGGUGAAAUCCCGGGGCUCAACCCCGGAACUGCCUUUGAUACUGGUAGUCUUGAGUUCGAGAGAGGUAAGUGGAAUUCCGAGUGUAGAGGUGAAACUCGUAGAUAUUCGGAGGAACACCAGAGGCGAAGGCGGCUCACUGGACCGAUACUGACGCUGAGGAGCGAAAGCGUGGGGAGCAAACAGGAUUAGAUACCCGUGUAGUCC